AAGAAAAAACAGAGCCAGAGAGAUAGAGAUCUAUUUACAACAUAUUUUCCUGCCAUGACUGAAGACACUUCAUCUCUGUCAGAAAAGAAGGAGCACCACAGCAGCUGUGCCUACACAAAAUGCAGUGGGAAAGCUCAAGAAAGCAAGCCAGGCUGGCUGGAAUAAAGGCUGAAGGGCAAAGCAUUGGCUUGCUUGCAGACAGCAAGCUAAGAUAUCCACCCAAGGGAAAAACCCAUUCUAGGUUCCGCUGGACAUUGGCGCAGGUGAGUAACAUCUGUUCCUCCAGCUAGAUUGAUAAGCAAACCUUAUCUAUCCGCAGCCAAUAGAAUCUACUUUACUCCUAGGAAGAGCAAGAUAACAACAGAGCAAGACUGGAGUAAAAGCCCUAUCUCCUUCUGCCACAGCUCUCAGCCCAGGGUAAAGGGGCAGUACAAGUCAACCAAUUGCAGCAAGCCAGCUCAAGCUUCCUAAAUGGUGGCCUUGUUCCCUGGCUCUGGGGUUCUAACCUAACAGGCUGGGACACGUCCACCCAGAAAGGAGGAAGCCACCACCUAGGGAACUCGUUUAGAUUUUCACAAUCAGGAAACAAAUGGUGGGGGGGGGGGAGGAUAGUGAUGACAGCUCUUCUGGAAAGGGAAUGCACCUUCUGCACAAAUAUUUGCUUAACUGCAGAUUUGCCUGCAUGAAGGAAGAAGAGUAAUUAUUACAUAAUUUUAUGCAGGGAAUGAUUUACCUUACACUUGGAUUGAGUACUACAAUUAGAGGGAAGGCAGUAAAAUGCAAGAAGGUCCAUAAUGUGCACCGUGGCUUUCUUAAUAGCGCAACUCUAAGUAUACCUACUUGAAAGGGAGAUUCACUGAACUUGUUGUAGGGGUUUAUCUCUGAGCAGACCCCUGACAGACAAGCCAAAGAUGACUCAAGCUCUAGAUUGUGCUUUCUCCACCCACUAAGCCAAAAAUAUCCAUGGAUUACAUAAUGGUAGGUGUUUGUCAGUCUCCAUAGUUUUGAAGAAAAAACAGGAGGUUACUAAGCCCCAGCUUCAGUUAUGCCUGCCUGCUCUAAAUUCUCAGUUGUGAUGAUACAAGCUCCCUACCUCUCCUGUGUUUUAUCAGAAAUGAGUCCCUUUUGUAUUACAUACUGCACUGGCUUCCUAAGGUUGAAAUAACAACUUUUCUCAUUCCUUUAUUACUUCCAGCCUGGAGCUACCUCACGUUUUAGCUCUACAGUACUGAUUUACCCACCCACUGGUGUCUGCUUGCUCAGGCUGGCCCACCGUCCUAUGAAUAGAUCAGACAGAAAUAAAG